rnacentral:lncRNA from 1 species
AUGAGCUGUAUUGAGAACCGACACUUUCCGAAUGAAGAUACGGAGAUGACUAAAGAGAAGUUCCUGUACCCCCAAAAAGCUGAAGCUGGAGGCUUGAAGAGAAGGGAUCCCAGAAUUGAGAAACAGGAGCAGGGAGCUGUGCUGGAUGCAGUUGAGGAGCAGGAGCGGAGAGCUUCCACGUCAUGCAGUCAUGGAGGCUGAGGAAGGAGGCUCCUGGCGGGUAUAAGCCACCAGGUAGGUAUUCCGAGGCAGCGCUUGUAGUGCUUGCCUUUUUCUGAACAUUUCCCCGUCCGCCUUUUCUUUUAGCUCCGCUUUUUUUCUUCUUAAUGUUUGCUUCCCCCCUUUUUAAUUUUUAAAUCAUCUUUUCCCUUCCUUCUGUUCCAUUUCGCUUUUCCCCCCCUAGUUUUAUCCUUUGCCCUGCUUUCUUUUCUGGCUUUUGUCACCUUCCCUUGUGUUUCUCCUGUCCUUUCCCCCCCAUCCCAUUUCCCCCCAAGUCCAUCCAUGAAUUAGAUGAGAAAACUUGUGGUUUCUAAAAAGGCCUAGAAUAGUGGGAGGAGGAGAUUCUUUAUUGAGGUAAUGAGGCCAUUUAGGCUUUAGUUGCUGCUGUUUGAGAAUUAAUAUAUUUAAAACUGGACUUGGGGUGAGAAUAUCAAUUAAUUGAUUCAGUCUAAUAUGAGGAUUGGCAGCCUCAGUGGCCAAAGGCAGAUGUGUAAAUGAAGUUUGGGGAGAUCAUUUUUCACUUACUCUCUAGGUCAUCCCAAAAGAUACUUGAUUAGAAAAGCUUUUAAUUUUAAGACUCAAAAAUCUCCCCACUCCCGUAAGGGAACAGGGUCACAUAGGCAGAAAGAGCCUUUAUCAAGUAGUGGGGUUUGGUGUGGGAGGGGGGUUACUAGGAGUUCCCAAAAACCAGAAUUCAUACAAUACCUUUUUUAUGGGUCUUAAGGAUUGUUGUUUUUCUAUGAUUUUAGAAAAGGGGCAUAGCUUCCUCAAUAUGUUCCUUUUCUUUAAAAUUUAGAUAAAUAUAGGAAAAUGUAUAUUUAUUAAAUGUGUAUUUAGUUGUAAGUACAUGGCAUAUAUGUAUGUCUGUAUAUUGUGUACUGAGGGUGAAUAAGUAUGUAAUGGUCUUUUGUACUCAUCAGGGGAACUGGGUUAUAGAGUUUCCCAGUGGAGGUUUUGGAGUAGAGUGAGAGCUCUAGCAGUU